GACGAAGGGGCUAGCGUUGUUCGGAAUUACUGGGCGUAAAGCGCGUGUAGGCGGUUGUCCAAGUUGGAUGUGAAAGCCUUGAGCUUAACUCAAGAAAUGCAUUCAGGACUGGAUGACUAGAGGACCGGAGAGGAUAGUGGAAUUCCCAGUGUAGUGGUGAAAUACGUAGAGAUGGGAAGAACACCCGUGGCGAAGGCGGCUGA
rnacentral:rRNA from 1 species